GUUAUAUGGUCAAGCGACUAAGCGCAUACGGUGGAUGCCUUGGCGGUCAGAGGCGAUGAAGGACGUGGUAGCCUGCGAAAAGUCCCGGGGAGCUGGCAACAAGCUUCGAUCCGGGAAUGUCCGAAUGGGGAAACCCACCGCGCAAGCGGUAUCCCAGCUUGAAUCUAUAGGGCUGGGAGGCGAACUCAGGGAACUGAAAUAUCUAAGUACCUGAAGGAAAAGAAAUCAACCGAGAUUCCCUAAGUAGCGACGAGCGAACGGGGAUAAGCCCAAAAGUCGUGCAAGUUCUAGCGGAACGGUCUGGAAAGUCCGGCCAUAGACGGUGAUAGCCCGGUAUGUGAAAGGGCUUGUACGAUGAAAGUGAGUAGGGCGGGGCACGUGAAACCCUGUCUGAACAUGGGGGGACCAUCCUCCAAGGCUAAAUACUCCUGACCGACCGAUAGUGAACCAGUACCGUGAGGGAAAGGCGAAAAGAACCCCGGAGAGGGGAGUGAAAUAGAAAGCUAAUCGAACCCGGAGAUAGCUGGUUCUCCUCGAAAGCUAUUUAGGUAGCGCCUCAGGUAUCACUGUUGGGGGUAGAGCACUGUUAUGGCUAGGGGGUCAUCGCGACUUACCAAACCAUGGCAAACUCCGAAUACCAACACGUGCAAGCCUGGGAGACACACGGCGGGUGCGAACGUCCGUCGUGAAAAGGGAAACAACCCAGACCUGCAGCUAAGGUCCCAAAAUCAUGGCUAAGUGGGAAACGAUGUGGGAAGGCACAGACAGCCAGGAGGUUGGCUUAGAAGCAGCCAUCCUUUAAAGAAAGCGUAAUAGCUCACUGGUCGAGUCGGCCCGCGCGGAAGAUUUAACGGGGCUCAAGCCAUGUACCGAAGCUCGGGGUUCACACGCAAGUGUGAGCGGUAGAGGAGCGUUCCGUACGCCUGCGAAGGUGGAUCGUAAGGUCCGCUGGAGGUAUCGGAAGUGCGAAUGCUGACAUGAGUAACGAUAAAGGGGGUGAAAAGCCCCCUCGCCGAAAGCCCAAGGUUUCCUCGCGCAACGUUCAUCGGCGCAGGGUUAGUCGGUCCCUAAGGCGAGGCGGAAACGCGUAGUCGAUGGGAAGCUGGUCAAUAUUCCAGCACCUCGCACAACUGCGAUGGGGUGACGGAGAAGGGUAGGUGUACCGGGCGUUGGUUGUCCCGGGGAAAGGCGGUAGGUGUGGACCUUAGGCAAAUCCGGGGUCCUCUACACCGAGCACCGAGACGAGUCCUCUAGGACGAAGUCACUGAUCCCACGCUUCCAGGAAAAACCUCUAAGCUUCAGGUUGUGCAGACCGUACCGUAAUCCGACACAGGUAGGCAGGGUGAGAAUCCCAAGGCGCUUGAGAGAACUCGGGUGAAGGAACUAGGCAACAUAGCACCGUAACUUCGGGAGAAGGUGCGCCCGGAGAUGUGGCUACAUGCGUAGCUGAGCAUUUCCGGGCCGCAGUGACCAGGCCGCUGCGACUGUUUAUCAAAAACACAGCACUCUGCAAACACGAAAGUGGACGUAUAGGGUGUGACACCUGCCCGGUGCCGGAAGGUUAAUUGAUGGGGUCAGCCGCAAGGCGAAGCUCUUGAUCGAAGCCCCGGUAAACGGCGGCCGUAACUAUAACGGUCCUAAGGUAGCGAAAUUCCUUGUCG
rnacentral:rRNA from 1 species